AGUUCGAUCAUGGCUCAGAUUGAACGCCAUUGGAUGCUUUACACAUGCAAGUCGAACGGCAGCACGGACUUCGGUCUGGUAUGGAGUGGCGAACGGGUGAGUAAUGUAUCGGAACGUGCCUAGUAGUGGGGAGAAUCACGCGAAAGCGUAGCGAUUACUGCAUGGCUCUUCGGGCGGGGACCUUCGGGCCUCGCACUAGAGCGUGCCGAUAUCGGAUUAGCUAGUUGGUGGGGUAACGGCUCACCAAGGCGACGAUCCGGCUGGUUUUGAUAUGAUCACACCAGCCACACUGGACCGGAGACACGGCCCAGACUACGGGAGGCAGCAGGAAUUUUGGACAAUGGGGGAAACCCUGAUCCAGCCAUCCCGCGUGUGCGAUGAAGGCCUUCGUUAGGUGCAUAACUUUUGCAGGAAAGAAACGGCACGGAUAAUACCCUCGUGCAACUGACGGUACCUGCAGAAUAAGGCACCGAAUAACUACGUGCCAGCAGCCGCGGUAAUACGUAGGGCAAGCGUUAAUCGGAAUACUGGUGUAGCGGUGCAAAGUUGCCUGAGCAGUAUGAACUGAGCGCACCGAACUGGGCACGAAUGUACUGAGCUAGAGUGUCAGAGGAGGUGGAACGGCGUGUAGCAGUGCAGAAUGGAUAUGCGGAGGAACACCGAUGGCGAAGGCAGCCUCCUGGGAUAACACUGAUUGCGCACUUAAAGCGGAGCAAACAGACGAUGACUGGUAAGUCCGCACGCCCUAAAACGAUAACGAUGUUGGGCCUGGGCUCGUGUAGCGCAGCUAACGCGUGAAGUUGACCGCCUGGGGAGUACGGUCGCAAGAUUAAAAUCAAAGGAAUUGACGGGGACCCGCACAAGCGGUGGAUGAUGUGGAUUAAUUCGAUGCAACGCGAAAACCUUACCUACCCUUGACAUGUCUGGAAUCCCGAAGAGAUUUGGGAGUGUUUGCAAGAGAACCGGAAUAUUGCGGUGCUAAACGGCUGUCGUCAGCUCGUGUCGAGAUGUUGGGUUAAGUCCCGCAACGAGCGCAACCCUUGUCAUUGCUACGAAAGGGCACUCUAAUGAGACUGCCGGUGACAAACCGGAGGAAGGUGGGGAUGACGUCAAGUCCUCAUGGCCCUUAAGGGUAGGGGCUUCACACGUCAUACAAUGGUCGGGACAGAGGGUCGCCAACCCGCGAGGGGGAGCCAAUCCCAGAAACCCGAUCAGUCCGAUCGCAGUCUGCAACUCUCGACCGCGUGAAGCCGAACCGCUAGUAAUCGCGGAUCAGCAUGUCGCGGUGAAUACGUUCCCGGGCCUGUUACCACCGGUCGCCCACCACGGAGUGGGUUGUACUGAAGAAGGCCUAACCGUAAGGAGGGCGAUUACCACGGUAGGAUUCAUGACUGGGGUGAAGUCGUAACGAAGGUAA
rnacentral:rRNA from 1 species